GACAUGUUCAGAAGCCUCAGAGAGGCUCACACCGCGGCAUACAUCGGCAAAGCCAUCAACUUCGGUUAAUCAGCAUUUCGACGACAAUCGUUUAGAAGUCACUAAGAUCUGUCACUAAACACAGCAGCCAAUCACAUUAGCUCAUGCUAAGGCUGCUCUCAUUUAUUGUUGUAGUGCUCUAGAAUGUUCCAAAAUAUUCUAGAAACACCCCGGAAGUUAGCAAUGCUUUUAUUUUCAUUUAUUUCUAUAACUAUCGUGGAGAUUCGUGAAUUAAUUUGAAAAACAAUCGCGAGUUAUCAGUGAAAUUCGUGGAUGUUGUUAAAUUUAUCCCUAUAAGAAUUGCGAGUAACUAGUGAAAUGCCUACAAAGUUGGCAAAGAGAAAACGAAAUAUUUAUUGAUAUAACAAUCGUGAAUUACUAGUGAAAAGUCAACAAAACCUGCGAAGAGAACCGACAGUUUGUUGUAACUACGACACAUUAUGAUUGCGAACUCGAGUUAGUGUUAAACGAGGCUUAAACGAAGUUUUACUGAGGUUAAACGUGGUUUUACUGAAGUUAAACGAGGUUUUAGUAAAGUUAAACGAGGUUCGAACGAGAUUGAAUGAGGUUUGGUUACUGCAAUAAAAUAUUUGAACGUUUAAUGUAAAGUUUGGAGAGGACCGUUAGUUCUAAUUUCGCCUUAAAACGUGAAUCGUGGACUUGAAAGUGAAGUGUGUGAAAAAAUGAUAAUCUGUGAGGAAGAGGAGUGCUACAAGGUAAUAUUAUAUUGUUUGUUCAGUUUUGACAAUAUAUGGGGUUGUAGAAUCUUGUAGCUAAGUUGAUUACUAACUUUAUCUUGAACUCAUUUCAUAAUUCACUAUUUAUGUUUCAAUUGUCUCUGUAGUUGAUUAAGUCUAUUUGACUGGAGGACGACUUAAAAAGAUCUAUAUUUUUAGUCAUCUCAAGUCAAGUAAGGCUUGAGAAGUAUUGAAAUUUAAAAUUUAUAUAACUAUACGCCGGUUGCACAAAAGCUGGUUAAAUUUCAAUGAUGUUUAACUUGACAAGAACCAAUCAGAGAGAAAACCUUCUAUGAUUGUUUCUCGUCAAAUUAAUCACGAUUAAAAUUUAACCGGCUUUUGUGCAACCGGGUCUGAAUGUUUUGGGAAAGUUGAAGUAGCUUUGAAAAUUAUUUAUUUAUUCAAUGCCUUAAUCUUAAGCUUACUUGGUUUAAGUGGAACUUUAAAAUGAGUGUUAUUUCAAGUCGUAAUUAAAUUAAGUAAACCUUGAUUACCUCAAGAUUUACUAUUAAGUAAACCUUGAUUAAAACCUUAAUUAAGUAACCUUGAUUAAUUAAGUAAACCUUGAAACUGUCUCAGUUUGAAACAGUAAUAUUGAUAUGUGAAUUGAAACAUUAUUUUAAUUUGAUUGAAACAUUCAACAUAUUAAAACAUUAUUACAAUGUUUUUUGAAGUGAAUUUGUAAACAUGUUCUAAACAUUUAUAUUAUUACCAUCGAAGCUUUAUUCGAAAUAAAAUGGAAUAAUUGUAUUGCUUUAAUUUAUCGAACAAGAACUUAUUUAUGUAAUUAAUAUUAUUGUAAUAUACUACGAUUAAUUGUAUAAAUUUAUUAGAUCGUUAUUGUUAAUUGAGAAUAAAAUGGUGAAUAAUUGUUGUA